rnacentral:misc_RNA from 1 species
GUAGGUGAACCUGCGGAAGGAUCAUUAUCGAGUUAUAAGCGAGGGUUGUCGCUGGCCUCUUUCGAGGCAUGUGCACGCCCGAGCUCUUAAAUCCACAACACACCUGUGAACCCACCGUAGGCCUUCGGGCUUAUGUAUCAUAUACUCUGAAUGUGUCAUAGAAUGUUCAUGUUGCCUUAAAACGCAAUCAAAUACAACUUUCAACAACGGAUCUCUUGGCUCUC